UAGCCCUGUAGAUGAAAAUUCAAAUGUGGAACUAAGAUUGAGACAAGUAGGGCGGGACACGUGAAAUCCUGUUUGAAUAUGGGGGGACCAUCCUCCAAGGCUAAAUACUCGUAAUCGACCGAUAGUGAACCAGUACCGUGAGGAAAGGCGAAAAGAACCCCGGAAGGGGAGUGAAAUAGAUCCUGAAACCGCAUGCAUACAAACAGUGGGAGCGGACUUGUUCCGUGACUGCGUACCUUUUGUAUAAUGGGUCAGCGACUUACAUUCAGUAGCAAGCUUAACCGAGUAGGGGAAGCGCAGCGAAAGCGAGUCUUAAUAGGGCGUUUAGUUGCUGGGUGUAGACCCGAAACCAGAUGAUCUACUCAUGGCCAGGAUGAAGCGAGGGUAACACCUCGUGGAGGUCCGAACCCACUAAUGUUGAAAAAUUAGGGGAUGAGCUGUGGGUAGGGGUGAAAGGCUAAACAAAUCUGGAAAUAGCUGGUUCUCUCCGAAAACUAUUUAGGUAGUGCCUCACGUAUCACCUUUGGGGGUAGAGCACUGUUAUGGCUAGGGGGC
rnacentral:rRNA from 1 species